GUUUGUUGAAAGGAUCAGUAGUAGCUUGACAAUUUUGUCAGAGCUUCCACUAGAGACUGCUUAUAGCACAGUGAAAAGAAGAACUGAGGAAUGAAAAAAAUAAGAGACGUUGGAAUUUGACAGCUGCAAAUAUGUAAAGAACAUUCUUUUCUACGCCAAAGGAAACCAGUCCAUGUUUUAAGCACAGCAAGGGCUUAAAAAUGAAGCGUCUACUCUGCUGGCUACACUUGAGAUGUUCCCAUGCUAUCAGGACACUGCAUGAUGACUUUGGAAGCAAGGAAGCCACCUCCAAUUCACAGAGCUGGUGCUUCUGCCUCAUUCAUGAAAGGACCCACCAAAACCCGAUCCAGUUAUCAGGUUCAUGGGGCUUUGGGAGGGUUGCAUUAGAACUUCAGAAAACACAGCCCCGAGCAUGCAGCCAUCUGAGCAUCUGGGAAAAAGGAAGGUGUUCAUCAUGCUGGUCGAACACACCCUGUGGCAUUUGCUCUGACUG